CCUUGGGGAUUAUUAGUGUACGUCCAGUUGCAUAUAUUUUACAUGAAUGUUGGAACAAUUGUGAUGAUGACGAAUUUCGUCCUUUAUUCGAGAACAAUCUAAUUGAUAUAUAAAUCUGUGAGUUUACUAUGUUCUUAACUUCGAUGAACCAAAGCAAGUUAUAAAUUGACCUGUAUUUAAAUCAAAUUGUUUCUUUUUUUUUCUUCUUCUUCUUUUGGUAUACAAUAGUCUAUCGAAUUCGUUGAUUACAUACUGUUGGCAUACGUGGACUAGUCUAUUAAUUUACAAAACUUUUACCACAAUUUACACAAAAUGUAUGUUUCUUUCUUAUGUUCAAUGUAUACAUGUAUACAUAUUUUAAAUUGCGCUACUGACUAUAGUUCCGUAACUUUCUACCCAGGCGUAUGUAUACACGAAUCGUCGACAAGUGCGCACAUUUUUUUAAAUCAAUAAUUCUGGUAUGUUCCAAUCUGUCCUAAACUAUUGACAACGAGUAUAUAUUACAUUUUCCCAAAUUAACCCUUGGAAAAAUAUGUAAAUAGAUUUGUAUUUCUUCAAUUUUUUUUUUUGUAUUAUUUUUUUUUUAUAAAUAAUAUUCUUUACACCAGAAAUGUUAUUUAUAAACAAGCGUAUGAGUUCAGUAAUGACUAGUAUAUUAUAU
rnacentral:lncRNA from 1 species